rnacentral:rRNA from 1 species
CGCGGCCUAUCAGCUUGUUGGUGAGGUAACGGCUCACCAAGGCAUCGACGGGUAGCUGGUCUGAGAGGAUGAUCAGCCACACUGGGACUGAGGCACGGCCCAGACUCCUACGGGAGGCAGCAGUGGGGAAUCUUGCACAAUGGGCGAAAGCCUGAUGCAGCAACGCCGCGUGCGGGAAGAAGGCCCUAGGGUUGUAAACCGCUUUCAGCAGGGAAGAAACUGACGGUACCUGUAGAAGAAGGUGCGGCCAACUACGUGCCAGCAGCCGCGGUGACACGUAGGCACCAAGCGUUGUCCGGAUUUAUUGGGCGUAAAGAGCUCGUAGGCGGUUCGGUAAGUCGGGUGUGAAAACCCUGGGCUCAACCCAGAGCCGCCACCUGAUACUGCUGUGACUCGAGUGCGGUAGGGGAGCGGGGAAUUCCUGGUGUAGCGGUGAAAUGCGCAGAUAUCAGGAGGAACACCAGUGGCGAAGGCGCCGCUCUGGGCCGUGACGGACGCUGAGGAGCGAAAGCGUGGGUAGCAAACAGGAUUAGAUACCCUGGUAGUCCACGCCGUAAACGUUGGGCACUAGGUGUGGGUCUCAACCAACGAGAUCCGCGCCGUCGGUAACGCGUUGAGUGCCCCGCCUGGGGAGUACGG